CCUAGGGCUUGGACAAAACGUCUAGAGCCACAGCAUUCCUAGCUGGCUCUCCCCUUGAACACUGAGCAGAAGGCUGGGGCUGAGGGAGGCAGAGUAGAGGGGAAGGCAGGCUGGAAGAGAGGCAGGGACAGGGAGAGACGAGGCCGGGGUAGGAGCUCCGAGACUGGGGGUGAGGGGGAUGAUGGGCCAGGGGGAAAAAGUGUGAAGGUGGGAGGGCGGAGUGGGUACAGCAACCUGGCUAAGGUGGGAGAAAGGUGAGGGACAGGGAGGCUGCGAUUUAAGGUGCCAUAGUAGGAAGAGGAAUGCUAGGCGGGUUGAAGACGAGGGACAAGGUGAGGAGAAAUGUCACAUGGAGGAGGAGGAGGAGGAGGAGGAGGAAGAGAAGGCCAGGACGGAAGAUAAAGGGGUGAAGAAGGACUGGGAGAAAGUCAUGUGAUUCUAGGCUGGAAGGGAUUUAAAUAAACAGAAAUACACAACUUUUCCUGCAUGGAAAAACUGUAUGAGUGUAGGAGGCUGAAGAAGAUGUCUCAAACAAGUAUAAGAAAUAUACUAGUCUGGAGGUGAAACAGGUAGCAAGAGAACAAAAAUGUUGGCAGAAAAAGAGUUCACUAUUCCAGCUUCAGGAGUGGAGAGUCUUUUUUUGUUGUUGCUUUUCCUGCCAUGGAUGUAAUGCUGCUUUGGACAGCGGCCGACGUCCAAUCAGACAACAGAACCGUCGGCUUUGUCAUAACGACAACCAUGACAUCACUGCAAGGGCUCGCGGAAAGAAGACAGCGGAGCUCCAGACAGACAGCGGGGCUCCACUGGGCUGCACGUCGGACAAAGCGAGCCGGCUGCCGGGUAGAAACGGCGCGGACUACCGGGGAUGGGGGAACACGCGGAGGGUGCCGUUUGGACGUUUCACGGCCGGCGUCGGGAGCUCUGUCCCGGACAAGUUGGGGCUUCCUCGCCGGGGGAAAGCGACAGGAAGAUAUGGAGGAGGUUGAAAUGGCAUCUUGUUUAAUUUCUGCCAAUCAAGACGAGAGGAGGACAACUCCCAAACUGGCAAGGAGCUGCGGCUGCUGUAAUCUCCACUGUUCAAUUAGCUGCACUGACCGGGACGCCACCUACACUUCAUUAACAGGGAGGGGAAGGUGAAACAUAGAGCCAGUAGGAGUGCAAGAGUGUGCGCCAUUUCCAGGUGAAGCAAACUGAAUUAAAUUGAAUCAAGCUGAACUGAUCUGAACUGGAAUGACCUGAACUGAACUGAAACGAAAGCUUCAGCUGGACACACGGCUCUCUGAGGUUUUGGGGAAAAAUAUUUCAGGCAGAGAAAAACCUUGAAAUGAUACAGAUGAAAGCCUUCCGUCAUUGAUGCCUCUUAUUUUUAUGGGGAAUUCCUUGAUAUAUUUUUUUCACAUUUACAUUAUGUUGUAUGACAUGAAUUAAACCUAAAUGAAGUUUGAUAAUGUACAAUGUCUUCUUUCUCGUGUGUGCAUACCAUCUUUGUUCUCUACAGAGCUUAUUUUCUUAAUGUAUCACACAAUACAACAUUUACCAAAAGAAAGCUCAGCUGUGUCACAGUCUACUUAGUCUGUUUCUGUUUCUUUUGCAUUUUCUUAUGUGUUACUGUGUUCGUAUAACUGGAAUAUCAGUCUUAAAGAGACAGCGCACACCCAAAAUCAAGAAUAUGUAUUUUUCUUUUACCUGUGCCAAACAUCAUGACCUGGUUACUCAAGAUAAUCCAAAGACCUCGUUGUGAGCAGUUUCAUGUCGGAAUUAUUUUUCUUUUUAGCAAACUGCACCGCGCAGAAGGAAGAGUGCAUCUACUCAGCCGAGGAGGACACCGUUAGUGUUUACAUCUUGUGCUGUCACCACCACAAGCCUCUCUCCACGCCAGAAGGACUCUGUGGGUUGUUCCAGUUUCAAGAUCAUUUUAAUAGAAGUUUCUGGAAGUUAAACAUUGGAUUUCAUCUACUUAAUGUAACUUUUGUGUGUUAUGAUCAGUCGGAUGUUCAGUUCCAGGUGCAAAAUAUGCUUUUCUACGUUUGAACAUGUUUCCAUUACAGAGUAUCGGGAUUUGAUGCUGUACACUCAUUGCAUUUUUGUUGGUAAAAAAAACAAAACAGACAUUCUACAAGCUCGGUUAUUUUGACAUUUUUAGUUAAAUUGAUGUGUUACAAACCCAUUAGAUUGUGUCAAAUGUAUCAUCACUAAGCCAGACACAAGUUUGUUCAUCACAGGUCUUAUGAAGCAUUUUUGAGGUAUUGUGAUAUUAAUAUUUGAACCUAGUUGGAGUAUUUAUAUGAAAUGUUCACAAUCAUUGGAACUUCACAGCGGCUAUAAUAUAUAUUUUUAUAUUAAUGUAUCAAAUGUCAACAUGCAGAGAAUUAUCACCUGAAACUGCACCUCCCCUCUGCUGUAAGUGGCCGGACAAAUCAGUUAUUGCAGGUUUAAAUAGAUUAUAUUAAAGUAAAGUAAAAAUGAUACAUUAGCCUUUUUAACAGUUUAAUUAGUCUCACUGAAAAGCUGAAACGUGUUUCUGAGGCUUUCUGUCCACAUUUGAAGCUGAAUGUGUAUCUGUGUACUGGACAGUUAAAAUAAAGCAUCAUGUCAUUUAAUAUAGGCCUACAUUUAAUAAAGAUGAAAUGCCUGCAGUUAAAGCCUUUAUUGGAGCUGACAGCAUGCGUCUUUCAUGUAUGUGGAAUGUGAAACAUUUGAAUAAAAGUUCCUGUUUGCGUUCUUCUGCUGUGUGCUUCAGACACACCAAUACACUCAAGCAAGUGUUGUUUAUGGA
rnacentral:lncRNA from 1 species